AAUUUGUUUAGUAUUUAUUUAUAUAAAAACGCAUUUUUUAAUCCAAUUUAGCGUUGGUAAUUUCGACGUUACCCUAAUUUUAAAGGCGGCGGGCGUUUUUAUAUUUAUAUUUUAUUUCUGUUAAUUUGUUUAAAAUAUUUAGAAAUUCGGAUAUAAACGGUCCGGCGUUGUCGGAAAAUUAUAAAUCGGGGACGUUUUUCCAACGGUAUAUAAUUUAAUAAUACCGCAUGGCCAAAAUUUCCGCGGUGUCCGUCUUUUUUCCCGGUAAAAUGGCCAAAAAUUUGGUUAAUUGGCAAAUAAAAACCCGAACGUAAUUGUAACUUUUUUUAUCCUUGGGUAAAUUUUUUCCGUUUAUUAUUACGUAUUACCAAUACCGUUUAGGGAUUUCCAAUGGGUAUAAUAGCCCGGGUAUUUUGUUAUAUUAUAUUUUAUUACGUUAAUAUUUGCGACAAUUUUUAAUAUAGCGUUUAACGUUUCGAUUUCUGUCGGGCCACCAAUAAUUUCUUUUUAAACGGCUAAGGGUUUUAUUUUGGCCUCCAUAACCGAAAAUCUUGGGCUUAUAAAUUUCGCGGAUAAAAACCGUUUUUAAGAAAAUCUUACCAUCCUGGGUAAUUUCGGGUACUGUAAAUAAAUUAUCGUGGUAACCUAAGUUUUAUUUUAGGUUUUUUUCCAGGAUAAGGGCCACCAGGUUAGCUUUUUGCGGUGCGGAGGGUUUUAAAUUGCUAAUGGUUGGAAAAGGUUCGCCGGAUCGGGAGUCGAUUUUUUUUGGAGAAAUUAGUGCAAUGGUACGGUUUAAUAUAAUUCGGGUUUUAACCGUAAGGUUGUCGAUAGUUUUGCGCGAAAGGGUAUCGGUUAUUAUAUUAUCUUUACCGGGACGGUAUUUAAAAAUAAUGUCGAAAUUGGCCAGGUAAUUAGCCUAUUAUAUCUGGCGAGCGGAUAAAAAUUUCUUGGUCGAUUAAUAAAUUAGGGCCUGGUAAUCGGUAAAAAUACAAAAUUUGGUACCUAAUAGGGCUGGUUCGAAAUUUUUUAACGUAUUAAUUACAGUUAAUAAUUUCUGGUCCUAAAUCGGAUAAUUUUAUUUAAUAGGGGAUAUGGUUUUGGACGAAUAACCGAUUGGUUUCCAACUAUUAUCGUUUUAUUAUUAUUAUAUAAUAUCGGCGGUGGUUUUAUUAUUGGCGUUAAUAUCUAUCCUAAUAAAUAUACCGGGUUUAAAAAAAUUUAUUACGGGGGCGGUAAUUACCAAUUGUUUUAACGCUUUAAAAACAGAUUUUUGCUCGGGGUUUUUUUCGAAUGGGAUUUCCUUUUUUAAUAAUCGGGUCAAAGGUUUUGUUUAUUUGUUGGCGUAAUAGUAAAACGUCCGAACGAAAUUGCAUAAAUUUAGAAAAAAUUAUAUUACCGAAACGGAAGUAACGUUGUCCUAUUACCAAUUGGUAAUAAUUUCGACCUUUUUGGGGUCGAUGCGGAUAUUUUUACCGAUUUUUAAAAUUAAAACCAGGUAUUCGAUUUCGAAAACGCCGAAAUUUGAUUUUUUAAUAUCGUUUUAAAAUCCGGUUUUGUAUAACCUGUAAAUAACUUUUUCGGUUUGUUUAAAAUGGAUUUGUUCCAAUUUAUUUUCGGUAUAAAUUAAUACGUCGUUUGCGUAAACGUUCGCGAAACCGUCCAAAAAUUUAUUAAAUUAAACGUUAAUAAAAAUUUGGAAUUAAACGGGUCCGAUUUUUAAUCCAAAAAACAGGAUUUUCCACUAAAAUAUAUUUUAUCGCGUUUUAAACGCCGUUAAAUCCCGUAAAUUCGGUUUUAUUAACAAUUUGUUAGAAAUUCGAAUAAUAUCGAUUUUGGUUAUUUUCCGGGUUUUUCCACAUUUGUUUAACGUCCCGGCCACGUCGGGGGCAAAUAUUUGUCGUUUUUUAAUAAAUUUAUUUAUUUAUCGGUAAUCCACGCAAAAACGUUGUUUUUUCAAUUGCGGUUUAGGAACAAAUAAAACUAAAAUUGCGGUUUCCUCCAUAAUCCGUUUAAUAAAAUCGAUUUUUACAAAUUCGUCGAUGGUUUCUUUUUCCAAUUCCAUUAU
rnacentral:sRNA from 1 species